GGGUGUGAACUCUGGCGGACACCCUUCGUGAGAGAAAGCGCGUUGGGGGCAACCCCUCACGAGUUCGAAUCUCGUAUCCUCCA
rnacentral:tRNA from 1 species